UCAGCUCUGCAGCCUUACAUGGUGAGAUGCCAGGCAGCGCUGACCUCAGACCAGAACGAGAGGAAGACACAGACUGGAGGAUACAGAAAACCACAGCAGGCCAGAGAAAACACACAGUACAAUAGGAAUGAAUGUUCUUCCUAUUGUGCCUAUUUUUAGAGUUUUUCUUUUAGAUUGAUUCAUACAAACCACAGUCUCCUGGGACCAGUUAGGGGGCCGCCCACCCUUUGACGUCCCAGCACCACAACAAUCAGGAUAUACAUGUUCUUAUUUCCUGUUUGUCAGAAGAAGAUACAUCCAAAGGGAACACGCACAACUGGGCUUUGUUUUGUUUUGUCUCCCACAGAGCGAUGGUGCUCACAUCCUCGAACAUGUAGAAUAUGAUUAACUCCCAUGAAUGCUGGGGGUAGUGGAUCAGGGUUCCUCAAGUUCCUCCUGGUCAAGAUGUCUCUGAUUGGUCCAGGCAGCUGGACAUCCUGACCCGGGUGAGUCUGAGGCAGCAGGCCGCAGGAUGAGAGGCCUCGACCAGUCAGCCUCGGAGGAAACAUCAUCUGGAUUUGCUUCGUCAUCUCCCACUGCUCCCAAUAGAAAAUAACCCAAAUCUAACUCUACCAGUUUGGCUAAUGAACACUUCACAUGUUUUUUAAUCCACAAGGCCAGCACACCUCAUCUGUGUUGCUAAAAUAAAAGGCACCCGACCUACUAAAUAUGAAUCGCCACAAAUCCAACAAGCACAGUUGGCUCCGUCUGGACGUUUCCAAUCCAGGACACUUUGUGUUGGAGCUAAAAUGGCUGAUGUACCACAAUAGCCUGAAGUAAUCACAGCAGGCUUCUGUUGUCACAGUAAUCCACCGGAACACAUUCCUGGCAUGUGCAUCGUACUUCUGGAAAAAAGACAGAACGGUAUCAAACUAAUGCAGCAGAGCCUCCCGAAAUAAAACCUGCUCAAAUCUGCAGCACCUGAUCUGGGACCAUCCGCCGUCACGUCUCCAGAACCAUCACACAAAUCCAGCACCUCUGAAGGACCACGUUCCCCAGAGAUACCCGGCAACGAUCACUCAGAUCUGGAAUGCCCCGGGACACUCCGCCUCUAAAAAUAGCACAAAUCCAGCGCACCGGAUUUUUGGACACACUUGUCAUUCCUCUGAAAUUGGAAACCCAAUCCCCCAACGAUGAACUCAUCUGAACACAGAGCAGAGAGAUGUUCCUCGCUCUCGUUGAUUCUCCAGCUGACACAGACGAGGGCUUUAAACUGCAUCUCAAACUUCAUCUCUGAGACGUGACCUUUCCAUCGAUGUGUCUUAUUUGUCUGUGUCCAAUUGAUUUUCUAUAUUGUGAACCAGAAGAAAGCAAUGAGGGAGUAUUAGAGCCUCUUCAAGGGGAAAAGACAGAAAUCAUUCUCUCCAUUGAUACCAAUCACCUCAUCUCAUCGAGUCUGUAACACCACAGGAUAUUCUGAGCUCUUCAUUGUUGAGUCCUGUAAAAAAAACAUUUCUAAUUAAGAUGCUAUAGCGCAUGACGGCUACCUGCUGUUUGUUAAAGACCCUCAAACACCCUUAGACCCCCUAACAGCACUGCCUCUGCUAUAAUAAAUUGAUUCUAAGGCACUUAACCCAUCCUGAACAUGUCAGCCCGCUAAUGGACUGUUCCUCUGGCCCUUGGGCUGUAUCUGCAGUUAAACCCCCCCGCUCGAGGUGUGAUGUGAAUGCUGAACGGCCACUGUGUGAGUAAUGUGUCCAAGAAAAACUUCGAUUGGCUUUUUCAAUCCUGUAAACGAUUUGGCUAAAUAAUACAUUUAAUACGUGCCGUGUGGUUUUAUUAUUUUGAGUUUCAUCUUAUUCCGAGUUCACAUCAAUGUGUGAUUUGACUUUUUAGUUCCGACCAUGAUCCAUCCGCUAACAUGGAGGAGGCAGGGUUCAUGACAUGUAGUGCAGCUGUCUUCUAAUUCCAUGUAGGGAGAACUGCUGGUUCCCUUCCACCCGCA